UACGAAGGGGGCUAGCGUUGCUCGGAAUUACUGGGCGUAAAGCGCACGUAGGCGGUCUUUUAAGUCGGGGGUGAAAUCCUGGAGCUCAACUCCAGAACUGCCUUCGAUACUGGAAGACUUGAGUCCGGGAGAGGUGAGUGGAACUGCGAGUGUAGAGGUGAAAUUCGUAGAUAUUCGCAAGAACACCAGCGGCGAAGGCGGCUCACUGGCCCGAUACUGACGCUGAGGCACGAAAGCGUGGGGAGCAAACAGG
rnacentral:rRNA from 1 species